rnacentral:rRNA from 1 species
AACGAACGCUGGCGGCAUGCCUAACACAUGCAAGUCGAACGAGACCUUCGGGUCUAGUGGCGCACGGGUGCGUAACGCGUGGGAAUCUGCCCUUGGAUUCGGAAUAACAGUUGGAAACGACUGCUAAUACCGGAUGAUGACGUAAGUCCAAAGAUUUAUCGCCCAAGGAUGAGCCCGCGUAGGAUUAGCUAGUUGGUGAGGUAAAGGCUCACCAAGGCGACGAUCCUUAGCUGGUCUGAGAGGAUGAUCAGCCACACUGGGACUGAGACACGGCCCAGACUCCUACGGGAGGCAGCAGUGGGGAAUAUUGGACAAUGGGCGAAAGCCUGAUCCAGCAAUGCCGCGUGAGUGAUGAAGGCCUUAGGGUUGUAAAGCUCUUUUACCCGGGAUGAUAAUGACAGUACCGGGAGAAUAAGCUCCGGCUAACUCCGU